GGAACAAAUAGAUGAUGAUGAUGAUGAUGAUGAUGAUGAUAUUGUGGGAGAGUGGACCAGAUGAUCCUCAGGGUCCCUUCCACCCCACUAUUCUUUAAGUUGCAAUUCACUAUGGGAAUGUUAGAUGCAGGGCUGCCAUCAUCCCCUCAGCUUGCUAGGAUCGCAGGGACGGGGACAUGUGGACCACUUGUGCAGCUCUACAUUUCAAAUGGAAAUUCCCUGAGCUAUGGAACCUUAAGCUGGUAUGCAGGAAGCUGGCCCGGCAGCAGCUUUGUUGGGACUUUUUAGGGUUUCUGGCCGGCGUUGGCCCUGCAAAUUUACACAUCAUGGUGGCAACACAAGGCAGGGCAUUUUGCCCAAUGUGGGGGCUGGGGGCUAGCAAGCAAUAACUCAAUACCUCUCGCCCAUAUUUCCAUAAAAAUAUCUUCCUUGAAAGCCUGGCCAAAUGGUUAUCUAGAUAGGUCAGUGGUUUUGUGCUUGUGGGAAGGGUUUUCCCAAGGUUUGGGAUUCCUCUGGCUCUUCAGCCAGUGGCUCAGAAUACAGCAACUCAAAGCCAGUCAGAGAGCUACCUGUGGUAGCAAGUAAGAAGGUUAGGAAGCAGCUUUCAUUGGGACGUAUGGUGGUAUCCCCUUGAUUCUCCUGCUAUUCCUAUUUUCAUUUAUCCCCUUUGGGGAUCGUCCCUAAGAAAGCCCCAUAUAAUCCCCCAUAUAAUUUAUCGCAUCCCAAAGGCACCUCAGUGAAUGACUCUCUGGAAUUGUUCCGCAAAAUAUGCAUCUUUGGAUCAGGCAGUUGAGCUUACCAACAUAUUGGAAGAGGGCCUUGUUGGCAUUAUGCGAUUUUGAAUUGACUGUUAGGCUGCUGCCGGUUCACCCUCAAGAUUAUAAGUAGUUGGGCUUAAUUGGAUGGUCCUUACACUUAUAAGGCGAUGCCAAUGGGUUGCGCUAUAGGCUGUGCAGCACUCGAGUCCUUUAGCGUCUUUCUGGAUUGAACAUUGCAAGUCAAGACUUGUUUAACUGGGGGUACCAUUAUUUGGAUUAUCUUACUAGUUGGUUCAUGUGAAACCAGCCUCUGCUAAGGCUUACUGUACGCCCCUUUUAUUCCCUGAGGAGCUGGGUGUUCCCAGUGGAUAGGACAGUGGCUCCUACUGCCCCUUUUAAUGUAUUUGGGGGCUAGCUGGAUACCGUUGCUCGUACCUCUGCUUGCCUGUGGAAAAGCUGUUUGCCGUGAAGGACGUUAUUCUUGUAAUACUUCCUCUGAUAGCAAAUGUUGCUUUGUCAGAUUCUAUCAUUGCUAGGUCAGUAAAAAAAAAAAAGUGGCAUGCAGGGUGGUUGUUCCAGGCUGCCCCUUCCAUUCCUGCUUGGCCAGGUGGGGUCUCAUGGCCCAGGGUCCCUUCAUCAUCCUGUACAGUGGCCUUGAGCCUGGCAGGGCAAGGCAAUCACAUGUGACCUAACUUUUCUUGAGUUUUCCCCAUUGUAGUCUCAGCGCACAUCUGGACUGAGGAGUACAGGGACCAUCGGGUCUGUCUUGGUCUGAUAACCAGGCAGUGUGAGGGUCCUGGCAAAAUGGUCCUCAUGCUUCGGCAGAGUCUCCGUCCCCUUUUAUGUGCUUUCCAGCUGCACUGCUUAAGGUUUAAUAUUGCGUUUCUGCUCGCUUUAUUACGGGAUCAUCUAAUGUUUUCGCUGUCACUCUAUCCCGUUUUCAGUUGGAGAGCUUCAGAUCCUGGCCUCUGGAUGCCCAGCUAUAGCCGGAUUUUCUGGAGCUCCUGUGGCGCUUUGGCAACAAUUGAUAAUUAAGAGGAGUAGUAGCUUACAUUUCCCCUUCUGCUUUCAGGCCUGGACUGAUUUCUUAGCAUUUAGCUGGCAGUCCUCGGCCAUUCAGAGGAACUUGCCUCCAUCCUCUGAGCAGGACCUGCAGUAAUUGGACUACCUGCUGCAGAUCGGAUGCACUGUUAAAACUAUCAGAAUUCAGUCCACUGCAAUGUCUGCUAGAGUAAAGCUUUAAUUUUUCAGAGACCCUUCUAAAAGUGUGUCGUGCGCAGGGUCUCGGAAGGUUGUAGAAGGCUCCAGCCUUCACAGGACUGCAGGCAGGAAGCCGGUCAAUCUUGACCUAUGCAGUAUCCGCAACAAGUUAAGACUUGUCUCCUGCUUCUAGAUCUAGACGAGACUUCUUUCAGUAUUCCAUUGUAAUUUUGGUGUACUGAGGGUUGGGGAAAUUGUGUUGGAGCCAGCACAGGGCUGAGAGUUUGGAGGCUUAUUGCCUCUGGAUUUUUCCUUAUCUGCUUUGGAGCUUGUCAUAAGUGUCUGGAGCUCUAAGUCAGACCUAGUGGGCUGGGUUGCCAUCAUCGGGCUUCCAGUCACAGGUAGGUGGGCCCUUGCCCUGUUAUUGGAUACCAGAAAUAUUUGGCUUUUCGUUCCCCUGGGGGCUGGCUCGAUCCUAGAAGUUGCUGGUUCUCGUGGGUUGCUCCUUCGGGAUAUAUGCGUUUCCCUUUGGAGUUGAGACUUGUAGUGCGCAACUCCAAAACUGACCAGCUGGGUCGGGGGGGAGGUUGUCCGCCUCCCAGCGACUGGGGAGGUGGGCCCGUGCCCGGUCAGGGAUGUAAGGAAGUACUUGGCCUUGAGACCUCCUGGGGAUGGCCCCCUACUCAUGCAUGAAAAUGGUCACCCUUUGGCGCGACACCAGUUCACAAAAGUCAUGCGUAAGGCCAUCUCUGCUUGUGGGAUCUCGGCCUCUGGUUUCGCCCCUCAUUCCUUUCGCAUAGGUGCAGCAACUAUGGCGGCCCAUUGGGGCUUCUCAGGCGCCAGGAUCAAGGAUUUGGGGAGAUGGAAAUCGUAUGCUUUCAAGGGUUAAGUGCGAAACAAAAUGCUGAGUUUGGUACUAAUGCUUGUUUGUUUCAACCCUUGCAGAUCCCACGCUGGUCCGCGUCUGGAUAGUGGGACACAGCAUCGUUCAUUGGGCUGGCAGCAGAGCGAGGCAGUCUGCAAGGGAGCGUGUCUCGGCCUCCCACAGCACGUGCAAGUGUCAUGGUUUUCCAGACGUGGAAUGUCAUGGGGAGAGCUUAUGCCGCUGAUUGGUCGCCGGCUGCUCUCGGACCUGCCCACCCUAUGGCCAUAGUGGUGCAGCUGGGGAAAAAAUGAUGUGGCAACUAUUGAUUGCCUUGCUUUGCGCACCUCAGUCCAAAAGGGAUUUGGAGGCAUUGGCAGCCUUAUUACCUUCAGUGAGAAUAAUUUGGUCUCACCUGUUGCAGAGGCAAACCUGGCACGGUGUUUCCCGCCCAGAGGCCGCUGAAAGGGCCAGGAAGCGCAUUAACUCUGCUGUUUGCGUGAAGGUAUUGGAGCUGGGUGGUUUGGUGAUUUCGCACCCAGACAUUAAUUUUAAGGCUGAGGCCCUUUACCGGGCAGAUGGAGUGCACCUCUCCGAUUUGGGGAAUGAUGUUUGGCUGCAUGCGGUGGCUACUAAAUUGGGUUCAUGGUUGGGUUUGUGAGUGGUUGGCGGCGAGCGUUAGAGCUCGUGUGGCGGUUAGGCAUUGGUUAUAAUAUGCUGGUGGUGGAGGGGUCAGGAUAGGCCGUGCCUGCCCCUCCCAUUGCGCUGAAGGGAAUUCCGUUAAAGGAAUCCUGGGGCUUGCCAUGAUUUCGUCCAAUCCCUGUCAUGGGACCAGGGCCGCCCAAUCCCUGUCAUGGGAAUCCUUGUCAUAGGAUCUGGGCCGGCAAGCUUUUGGGGAGCUGCUGGGGUGAGCGGCGUGGGUCCGACGCUUAGCUCAAAUGACCCCCAGUUUGACUUUCUCUUCUACUGGCUACCGAUCAGACCUCGGGAUGUCAGUUCUGUCCCAGGCGGGGGGACAGAUAGUCAUAACCAAUGUCUAAACAACCACUCACUGAUUUUGUAUUUUAAUAAAGUUGUGGCCAAAAUAGUGCCC
rnacentral:lncRNA from 1 species